CCUCCAGUUCUAGGAAAUCAGGGCCCUCUUCUGGCCAAAUGGGCGAAAGACACGAACACAUACCUUCAGGCAAAACACUCACACACAUAAAAUCAACAAUUUUGUAAUUAUUUUUUGAGUCCUCACUCUAGUAAGUGCUGGUGUCACAAUGACAGUGAUCUUCACUGUCAGCUGAGUAAAACCUAGGAGAUCAGUAAAGCAUUCCUCCGGGUGUGUCCUAACCAAGGGGAAAUUUUGUCCUGGAUAUCAGUGGUACCUACCGUCUUACAGACUGAGGUCCAGACGGAAUACAGCCGGAGAAAUGAACGAGCUCACAAGGGCAGGAAUCCUCUUCUUCCUCACAGUCACCAGGAUACGAGCUGUUCUGCCCUAUCACAAUUCUUUCUACAGCACGCUGAGACCAGUGCCGGGUUCUUUCUUUGAUAGUUUUUAAUAGCAAGUGUUUUUAUCACAGCAAUAAGGGUAUCAGUGUCGGCUUCUUUAUUGUAAAGUACAUGGCAGGUUUGUAUGUGGGUGGGUGGGGGGACUUUCUUUAAACUAUAGUCAGUACUCACUCUUCAGUUUACCUGGUUGUGCACCAAUACCCCAGAGUCCUACAUACUAUAUAUUUGUGGAAAAGUAAAUACAUUAAAACUGAAGCCCUCCAAUCUGACUGUUCUUUAGGACUAGAUUGACUAAUCUUGGUCCUUUUAUCUUUGUAUACGUUUCAGAAAUAGGUUGACAUUUUCUUGACGAAUGAGGUGGCAUUUGACAGAGAAUCCUGAAGGAAGACUGCCCCUGUCGGAACUCCUGUGAUGGACAAGGGAACUUUUUAAGAGUAAAGAGCUUCGAGUGGAGACCAGUUCAGCACGCCUAGGGUGGACAAGGCCCUGGGCUCUAACCCGGUACCUUAGAAAAGUAAAUGGGACUGACCAGAAUCCUUUACCAACACUGAUUUACAUCCAUAGUGAUUUCUGUAGAACACUUCGGACAUCGUUUCUAUUCUUUUGCGUAGCCGUGAAAGACAGUUGUGAAACCAAGGAAGAAAGAUGAGUGUUAAACUUCAAUAUGGAAGCCAGUACAGUGCCAUCAAAGGAAUGGAAGACAUUCUGAGAAGGUCUGCUCUGCCAUAUGAAAACAUGUAGGCCAUUGUGAUGGGAAUUUGAUAUUCACGCUAGUUCGUUUCCUGCUUUGCCUGUCCCAGGUUCCUGUGGUGUAUGCUUCCUGCGGAUCACAUGUUCACCGUUCACAGAAACCUUGGUAGGGUGCUCUGAACUCUAGGAACAAUGUGGAUGCAUCAAAGAAAAUCCUGCAAACUAUACUUUCAAAAAUGAAGAUAUUUCCAUAUUUUUAAAAUAAGAACACUGGGACAAGUAACUUGUGAUUUCGUGUCUUCCAAUACUUUGUUGGUAUGUCGUGAUUCUGUAGUACUGUUUUAUGUUGACACCUAGAAAUAAUGCAUCAGUUUUACUCACAUUUUAUUGUCUUCCAUGACAAGAAUGUGCCUUCUAAAUGAGUGAUUUAGAAAUUGAAUUGUCAAUGAAACAGUGAUUUUAGGUAGAGGCUUUGGGGGUAGUGCUUUGGGGAGUGUCUGGGGAAUCAGACCCCAGUAAUAAUCAGGGCAUUUACUUUCUUUUUCUGCCUAUUUAUUCAUAAUGUUAGAACAUACCAAGAAUGUUCUCACUAUAUGUAGUUGACUGUUACUCAUGAUCUGUGAAAAAAGUAAAUCUCUGUUCUCUAUAAAAUCAUCCAGGGUCAAGCAUUCUGUUAUAGUAGCAGAAAAUAUUGUUCCAACCAAGUUUAAUGUCAGGAUUGUCACAUUUGAAUGGAGACACCCAAACAACAUUAUUAAAGUUAAAUGGUGGCUCAAGGAUCAAAUGUCAGAGGGCAUAGGCAAGAAGUAAACCCAUUCUCAGAGCAGACAAAAGAAAGAAUACAA
rnacentral:sRNA from 1 species